GACGAACGCUGGCGGCGCGCCUAACACAUGCAAGUCGAACGAGCGAGAGAGAGCUUGCUUUCUCGAGCGAGUGGCGAACGGGUGAGUAACGCGUGAGGAACCUGCCUCAAAGAGGGGGACAACAGUUGGAAACGACUGCUAAUACCGCAUAAGCCCACGGGUCGGCAUCGACCAGAGGGAAAAGGAGCAAUCCGCUUUGAGAUGGCCUCGCGUCCGAUUAGCUAGUUGGUGAGGUAAUGGCCCACCAAGGCAACGAUCGGUAGCCGGACUGAGAGGUUGAACGGCCACAUUGGGACUGAGACACGGCCCAGACUCCUACGGGAGGCAGCAGUGGGGAAUAUUGCACAAUGGGGGAAACCCUGAUGCAGCGACGCCGCGUGGAGGAAGAAGGUCUUCGGAUUGUAAACUCCUGUUGUUGGGGAAGAUAAUGACGGUACCCAACAAGGAAGUGACGGCUAACUACGUGCCAGCAGCCGCGGUAAAACGUAGGUCACAAGCGUUGUCCGGAAUUACUGGGUGUAAAGGGAGCGCAGGCGGGAAGACAAGUUGGAAGUGAAAUCUAUGGGCUCAACCCAUAAACUGCUUUCAAAACUGUUUUUCUUGAGUAGUGCAGAGGUAGGCGGAAUUCCCGGUGUAGCGGUGGAAUGCGUAGAUAUCGGGAGGAACACCAGUGGCGAAGGCGGCCUACUGGGCACCAACUGACGCUGAGGCUCGAAAGUGUGGGUAGCAAACAGGAUUAGAUACCCUGGUAGUCCACACCGUAAACGAUGAUUACUAGGUGUUGGAGGAUUGACCCCUUCAGUGCCGCAGUUAACACAAUAAGUAAUCCACCUGGGGAGUACGACCGCAAGGUUGAAACUCAAAGGAAUUGACGGGGGCCCGCACAAGCAGUGGAGUAUGUGGUUUAAUUCGACGCAACGCGAAGAACCUUACCAAGUCUUGACAUCCCUUGACAGACAUAGAAAUAUGUAAUCUCUUCGGAGCAAGGAGACAGGUGGUGCAUGGUUGUCGUCAGCUCGUGUCGUGAGAUGUUGGGUUAAGUCCCGCAACGAGCGCAACCCUUAUGGUCAGUUACUACGCAAGAGGACUCUGGCCAGACUGCCGUUGACAAAACGGAGGAAGGUGGGGAUGACGUCAAAUCAUCAUGCCCAUUAUGACUUGGGCUACACACGUACUACAAUGGCGUUAAACAAAGAGAAGCAAGACCGCGAGGUGGAGCAAAACUCAGAAACAACGUCCCAGUUCGGACUGCAGGCUGCAACUCGCCUGCACGAAGUCGGAAUUGCUAGUAAUCGUGGAUCAGCAUGCCACGGUGAAUACGUUCCCGGGCCUUGCACU
rnacentral:rRNA from 1 species